CAAUAGCGUAUAUUAAAGUUGUUGCAGUUAAAAAGCUCGUAGUUGGAUUUCUGGAUGGAGCGACCGGUCGGGCAUUAAUUUGUCUGCACUGGAGUCGGUUCCGUCCAUCCUCUUGGAAAGUGCGUCGGGCAUUAAGUUGUUUGGCGUAUGAUCCAAGUCGUUUACUGUGAAAAAAUUAGAGUGUUUAAAGCAGGCCUUCGCCUUGAAUACAUUAGCAUGGAAUAAUAAGAUAGGACUUCGGUCUAUUUUGUUGGUUUGCAGACCGAAGUAAUGAUUAAUAGGGAUAGUUGGGGGUAUUUAUAUUCCGAUGUCAGAGGUGAAAUUCUUAGAUUUUCGGAAGAUAAACUUAUGCGAAAGCAUUUACCAAGGAUGUUUUCAUUAA
rnacentral:rRNA from 1 species